rnacentral:rRNA from 1 species
GAUGAACGCUGGCGGCGUGCUUAACACAUGCAAGUCGAACGGAAAGGCCCUGCUUUUGUUGGGUGCUCGAGUGGCGAACGGGUGAGUAACACGCGAGUAACCUGCCCUUGUCUUUGGGAUAACUCUUGGAAACUGGGGCGAAUACCGGAUAGGAGCUCUUGCUGCAUGGUGUGGGUUGGAAAGUUUCGGCGGUUGGGGAUGGACUCGCGGCUUAUCAGCUGGUUGGGGGGGUAGUCGCUUACCAAGGCUUCGACGGAUAGCCGGCCUGGGAGGGUGACCGGCCACAAUGGGACUGAGAGAGGGACCAGACGCCUACGGUAGGCAGCAGGCGGGAACAUUACACAACGGGCGGAAGCCUGAGGCGAAAGCGCUGCGUGCGGGAUGACGGCCUUCGGGGUGUAAACAGCUUUCGCCUGUGACGAAGCGUGAGUGACGGUAAUGGAUCAAGAAGCCCCGGCUAACUACGUG